rnacentral:rRNA from 1 species
GAUCAUGGCUCAGGAUGAACGCCAGCUACAGGCUUAACACAUGCAAGUCGAGGGGCAGCAUCAUCAAAGCUUGCUUUGAUGGAUGGCGACCGGCGCACGGGUGAGUAACACGUAUCCAACCUGCCGACAACACUGGGAUAGCCUUUCGAAAGAAAGAUUAAUACCGGAUGGCAUAGUCUUCCCGCAUGGGAUGAUUAUUAAAGAAUUUCGGUUGUCGAUGGGGAUGCGUU